CCUUCUCCCAGAGGCCACGCUGUGGGUGCGGUUGUCCGUUCGUCCCCUGGGGAUGCCGUUGACUGCAGCAGCCUCAGGCUUGCGUGGGCUGUCUCUGCCUGGCCUCCCUCUCCUUGCGGCGCGGGAGCACAGAGGGACAGGUGGAGUGCUUACUGGCUGUGGACAGGAGCUGCUGAAGCUGACGCUGAAGCUGGAGAGGCCACAGAAUGGUAAAGCUGCUGAAGAAUAAAAUAAAGAGGAUCCAGCCACCAGCUGCAGACAGGAGAUAGCCUGCCUCUCCAGGUGGAUGACAGUCAAGUGAGUGCAGCUACAGAGGAGGAAGGGAGAGGGAGAGAGAGACAGACAUGUCUGAACUGUCAAAUUCUCCCAGCAGCUCCAACAGCGGGAGAAGCUGUCAGUCCUGCAGACACCAAGGUCAGUGAAGAAGAAAAAGGAGGUGGUGAUCCAGGUCCUAAAGCAGAGAUUCCCCUGCAGCCUGCAGUGAAGACCAUGGUGACACAGGCUGUCCCCCUGCAGCCCACAGAGGUCCAUGGCGGAGCAGAUAUGCACCCUGCAGCCGACGGAGGACCCCUCGCCAGAGCAGGCGGAUUCACCCGAAGGAGGCUGUGACGCUGUGGAGAGGAGCCCACACUGGAGCAGGUUUUCUGGCAGGACCUGCGGCCCCAUGGGAGUGACACCACACUGGAACAGAAGAAGAGCACAAAGAAGGAAGGAGCAGCAGAGACAACUUGUGAUGAACUGACUGCAACCCCCCCCUCCUUCUCCCCCUGUGCUGCUCGGUAGGAGGAGGUAGAGAAGUCAGGAGUGAAGAUGAGCCCAGGAAAAAAAGAGAGGGGUGGGGGGAAGGUGUUUUUCAGAUUUGUUCGUAUUUCUCAUUAUUGUACUCUGAUUUUGACUGACAAUAAAUUAAUUUCCCCAAGUCGAGUCUGUUUUGCCUGUGACAGUAAUUGGUGAGCGAUUGCUCUGUCCUUAUCUUGACCCACAAGCUUUUUUGUUGUAUUUUCUACCCUCCGGUCUUGUUGAGGAGGGGGAAUGGUAGAGUGGCUUGGUGGACACUCGUCAGCCAGCCAAGGUCAACCCACCACAGUUUCCUUCUCUCAGGCUCCCUGUCCCUAUUUUUAAAAUCUGGCCUAUGUUUCUUGUAUGUCGUCACUUUUGAAACUUUCUACCUCUCCAUCCUUAUUUAAAUUCUUGCAUGUUUCUUAAACCCAGUUGCUUUUUAAAUUUUCUUGCUACUUUUCCUUCUUUUUGUCUCCCUGACCUUAUUUUAAUUUCUCACCUGUGUUUCUUGUACCCUGUUGCUUUUCAAAUUUCCUUCUUAUGUCUCCCUCUAUGCAGCUCCAUGUACCUACUUUUUGAUUCUUGUACCCUGUUGCUUUCAAAAUUUUCUGUUUCCUUCUAUCCAUCUCCCUGUCUCUAGUUCUUAACUCUUCCCUCUCUGUCCUGUACCCUGUCACUUCUUAGAUUUUCUUUCUACGUCUCCCUCUUUCUGUCUCCCUGUGCCUAUUUGUUAGUUCUUGCCUAUGUUUCUCAUAUGCUGUUGCUUUUUGAAAAUUUUCUCUCUACCUGGCUCCCUGUUUCUGUUUUCUAGUUCUUGCUGUUUCUUCUCCCAUAUCACUUGAGAAUGUUUCCCUGUCCCUUGUCCUGUCUUUAUCUUGUUGUCCUGCCAGUCCCUUCACCUUCUCUCCCCCACUUCCUAUUAUUUAUUCCUCCAUCUCCAUCCCUGUUGUUUUGCUCAGUCUCUCUGCGCUUCUCUCUCUACACUGUUUUCCUGCUUCUUGUCCCUCUCUUGUUCCCAGCAUCCCAUUUUCUGGCUCCCUGUCUUGCACCUCUGUGUCCCUCUGUCCUUCCUCCUGCUUUACUCUUCCCUUUUAUCACCCCAUCCUGCUGCCUUUGGGCACUGAGCCUUGUAGCCAACUCAUUGCCAGGAUUUCUUAUAUGCAUUAAUGAAUAAAUUUUUCCUGCCUCCUCUGUGUCCCUGGAUGUGGGUUUCUUAUAGGCACCCUUUACAUACCAUGAAGUCUGCUAUAAGGUCUCCUGCAAAGCUGCAUGCCAGUGAGCGGUCCGAGAAGAUGUUGAAGACCAAUGUGUCACCUUGAGGAACAUCCCAGUUAGCCUGUGUGGUUUUUGUGGAGGAUGGACUCAGCCCCUCGGCCCUCUGAAAGCUACGUUGAGGGA